AAAGUCGUAACAAGGUUUCCGUAGGUGAACCUGCGGAAGGAUCAUUACCAAAAUUUAGCUGCACUGGUUUAGGCUGGUUGCACGCUUCAACCCUUUGUGAACCAAAAACCCUUUACGCUUCGGCAGCUGGUUCUAGCUGUAAGCCUGCCGAUGGCACCAAUUUAAACCUGACUUUAAAACAUUGUCUGAAUAAACCAUUUUCGAAUGAAAAUUAAAACUUUCAACAACGGAUCUCUUGGUUCUC
rnacentral:misc_RNA from 1 species